GAGAUAGAUUGUACAAGACUUCACAAGCAUGGGGAAAGUCCAAUAUUGCGUCUGGCUUGUAAUAGUGAUUACUCAAGUCGUGGACGCUAUGAGCAAAAAUGAAAUAGACAAAGCAGUGAGAUCAUCCCUUUUGAAGGGGGAGAAUAGUUUACAACAGAAUAAGGAAGAACUCCGUCAAUUCCGAAUGAACGGAACUGACAGAAACGUCCCACAUUCUCCGAGGAAUAAACAUUUUAUGUUAACCUAUAAUAAAAAUGAGUCAAAGCAUUUGACGGAAUGUGGUAUUAUUAACAUCGAAGUGUUAAAAACGCUCCAUGACGAAUUUGGAAUGACUUUAUCUGACAUUCAGGAUAAUGAUCAAAUUCAAAAUAAAGUAUCUCUACACCUCGUAACAGAGCAAAAAACGGCAGCCCCCUUCCCAGCCCACGACUCAUCAGUAACAACCUUUUCCGUGCCCCAGGAGACUGUACAGAGACGGACCACGCCCGUACCCUGAUGGUGAUGGCCUGGGGACAGUUCAUUGACCAUGACUUAACUCACACCCCAACCAUGAAAGGUGAUGGUGAGGUUCCUAUAACUUGUUGCGGCGAGAACGUACAGAACAGACCUCAGUGUUUCCCAAUAUCUAUCCCGUCUGAUGAUCCCAAUUUCGAUGACUCUUGCAUGGAAUUCGUCAGAUCAGCCCCCUCUCCUCCAGGGGAUGGAUGUCAACUUGGUCCUCAAGAACAAAUCAACCAGAUCACAUCAUUCAUUGAUGGCGGUUCAGUGUAUGGAAGCUCUAAAGAGAAAAUGGAAGAGCUUAAAAACACAGACACAGGACAGAUGAGAACUUCCCCCGGGGAUUUGUUGCCUCCAGCAGUCAAUGACACUUGUGAAUCUUCUGCUGAGACAGACUUCUGUCAAAAUGCCGGCGACUUAAGGGUUAACGAGAUUCCUUCCCUUGGUGGAAACCACCUGCUGUUUGUCAGAGAGCACAACAGAAUUGUUGGAGAACUCCGAAAAGUCCAACCAAAAUGGAGUUCUUUAAAAUUAUAUCAGGAGGCGCGUAAGAUAAUCGGAGCCCUUCUGCAGCAAGUGACGUACGGAGAGUUCCUUCCAAGCAUCUUGAGCAAACAGGAUCUUGAGAAUCAUAAGCUAAAGCUGCGGAACUCGGGAUUCAGCAACAAUUAUGAUAGCAGUAGAAAUCCAGCAACCAAAAACGCUUUUAACGCUGCUGUUUUUCGAUUUGGUCAUUCCUUGAUUCCGCCAAACCUCGCCUACCUUCUUUAUGACUUUAUGUCACGCGUCAACUCCACUACAAUUGAGUCCAUAUUCUUUAAUCCGCACCUAUUGAUUACAGAAGGUGGAAGAAGGGUGUCGGAUUUGGCGCGCUUUAUUGUUACAUCGAAUUCCAUGAAGGUUGACAAUCAACUAGAAGGUGCGGUGCGAGACCAUCUUUUUGAAAACGCGCAUGGUAAAGGAAUGGACCUUGGGGCUCUUAAUUUGCAAAGAGGUCGUGAUCAUGGACUUCCUCCGUAUAAUGCAUGGCGCAAAUGGUGUGGACUUACGGUAGCCACCUCUUUCUCAAAUUUACCAGACAUUACUGAUGAAAAGAAAGCUGUCCUUGCUGCCCUCUACAGUGGGGUAGAUGACAUUGACCUGUUUGCUGGUGGAGUAGCAGAAACCCCUCUGGACGGAGCUGCUGUCGGUCCAUUGUUCUCCUGUAUCAUAGGGAACCAGUUCCGAGACCUUAAAGAUGGAGACAGAUACUGGUACGAGAACCGAGGGGUGGAGGGCUUUAAACAGGCGCAACUACGAGAAAUCAGGAAAGUAAAACUUGCCAAGAUCGUAUGUACAAACUUAGGAGUGGAUCCCAUCCAACCUGAUGUGUUCCAUGUUCCUAGCCCAAGUAAUAACUGGCAAAGCUGUAGUCAAUUUCCGGAAAUAGACUUCGCCAGAUGGAGAUGAGCAGAUGUUCAUACCUAUUGACAGUAUUGCGUUUGUGUGUACUUGAGUUGUCCUGUGAAAUUGUUUUGUUAAAGACUCUGAUUAUUGCAUUUAAUUUGUUAAUGUUCCGUUAAUAUUUUAAACGAAUGAUUCUUUAAUUUUAUAGAUUGUAGUGAUUGUAGUGAUUGAAAAUUAAAAAAAUGAAUUUGUAAUUUCUUUU
rnacentral:misc_RNA from 1 species